rnacentral:rRNA from 1 species
GACGAACGCUGGCGGCGUGCUUAACACAUGCAAGUCGAACGGAAAGGCCCUGCUUUUGUGGGGUGCUCGAGUGGCGAACGGGUGAGUAACACGUGAGUAACCUGCCCUUGACUUUGGGAUAACUUCAGGAAACUGGGGCUAAUACCGGAUAGGAGCUCCUGCUGCAUGGUGGGGGUUGGAAAGUAUCGGCGGCUGGGGAUGGACUCGCGGCUUAUCAGCGUGUUGGUGGGGGAGUGGCUUACCAAGGCUUUGACGGGUAGCCGGCCUGAGAGGGUGACCGGCCACAUUGGGACUGAGAUACGGCCCAGACUCCUACGGGAGGCAGCAGUGGGGAAUAGUGCGCGAUGGGCGGAAGCCGGAUGCAGCAACGCCGCGUGCGGGAUGACGGCCUUCGGGUUGUAACCCGCUUUCGCCUGUGACGAAGCGUGAGUGACGGUAAUGGGUAAAGAAGCACCGGCUAACUACGUG